rnacentral:rRNA from 1 species
CCCUUAGAUGUUCUGGGCCGCACGCGCGCUACACUGAAGGGAUCAGCGUGUUUUCCCUUCCCGAGAGGGACGGGUAACCCGCUGAACCCCCUUCGUGGUAGGGAUCGGAGCUUGCAAUUGUUCUCCGUGAACCAGGAAUUCCCAGUAAGCGCAAGUCAUAAGCUUGCGUUGAUUACGUCCCUGCCCUUUGUACACACCGCCCGUCGCUACUACCGAUUGAACGUUUUAGUGAGGUAUUUGGACCGGGCCUUGGGAGGUUUCGGCCUCCCUUGUUGCUCGGAAAGACUCCCAAACUUGAGCGUUUAGAGGAAGUAAAAGUCGUAACA